AUGAUGAGCAGAGAUCUGACUGAUGGCAGUGAUGUCACCCAGACUCCCAAACUGUGGAAAAAUGAGGGUGAAAAUGCAACUAUAGACUGCAGUCACACCAAGGGUCCUCUGUACUUCCAGAUGUACUGGUACAGACAGCUCCCAGGAGAAGGAAUGAAACAAAUAGUAUUCACCAUGUCAAACUCCAAACCUGACUAUCAGCCGGACUUCAAAGAGGAGAAAUUCUCAGUGACCAAGCCUGAUGCUGCCAGUGGGACUUUGACAGUGAAGGAUUUGGUGGCAGAAGAUAAAGGCUUGUAUUUCUGUGCUGUCAGUGAGCACAGUGAUACAGACUCACUCAAUCGCUGA